rnacentral:snoRNA from 1 species
AUCUCGUGGUGAGGACAUCUAUGAAGUAACUCCUUAAAUCUUUCUUACACCUUGUAUAGGGACUCGUUAUCCAAUUUUUGAAAAGCGGUGAUCUCAUUUCGCAACU